CUGUGUCCUCACCUGACCCAGAGUUGCUGCCCCAUCUCACUUUCUAGAUGCCAAACCCUCAGGGGCUGCCUACCCCGUCUGCGAGUGGCGCUAUGAUGCCUGUGCCAGUUCCUGCUUCCAAACCUGCCGGGAUCCAUGGGCAGCCAGCUGCCGGGACGUACCCAGAAGGCUGUGUCCCUGUGUGUCCUGCCCCCAAGGUCCUGGAUGAAGUCACACAGAGAUGUGUCUACUUGGAGGACUGUGUGGAGCCAGCAGUUUGGGUUCCCACAGAGACCCUUGGCAAUGAGACCCUCCCUCCCAGUCAAGGGCUGCCCACUCCCAGUGAUGAGGAGCCACAGCUGUCACAGGAAAGCCCCAGGAGCCCCACCCACAGGCCAGCCCUCGCCCCAGCUGCCCCACUCCCCACAGUCCUGAACCCACCAAUGGCAGCCACUGAAGAGCCAGUGAUGUCUCCAGGCCCCACCCAGUCCACCCUGCAGCAGCCACUGGGGCUCACUGCAUCUCAACUCCCUGCCCGCCCCACAGAGGCCCCAGCCAGCAAGGGAGUGACUGCCAGCCUCCUGGCCGUCCCCCAUACACCAGAGUCCUCAUCCCUCCCUGUUGCACUGCAGACACCCACACCUAGCAUGGUGUCGGGUGCCGUGGAAACAACAAGGGUGACUGUGAUCUUUGCAGGAAGCCCCAACAUCACAGUCUCCUCCCGGUCGCCCCCUGCCCCUCGCUUCCCGCUCAUGACCAAGGCUAUGACAGUCCGAGGCCAUGGCUCCUUGCCUGUCAGGACGACACCCCUACAGCCCUCCUUGACAGCAAGUCCCUCCUCCAGACCUGUGGCUUCCCCUGGAGCCAUCUCCAGGUCCCCCACCUCCUCGGGAUCCCACAAGGCUGUGCUGACACCUGCAGUAACUAAGGUCAUAAGCAGGACAGGGGUCCCCCAGCCCACCCAGGCCCAGAGUGCUUCAAGUCCCAGCACCCCUCUAACUGUGGCUAGAACAGCAGCAGAACAGGUUCCUGUCAGUCCCCUCACAACCAGGAGCGUGGAGAUGGUGCUGUCCACAGAGAAGGGUGAAGCCGGGCACAGCCAGCCCAUGGGCUCGCCUGCCUCCCCACAGCCACACCCACUCCCCACUGCACCACCCCGCACAGCCCAGCAUACCACCACGGCCACCAAGUCUCCAGCUCUGCCCCCAGAGACCCCAACUGCCGCCAGCCUGUCGACAGCUGCUCAUGGGCUGGGAGCCACACCCUUCGUGUCCCUAGAGUCAAUUGGUCCAUCCCAGUUCCUCUCUGGCCUGCCUCCCGACACCAGCCUGCCCCUGGCCAAGGUGGGCACAUCUGCCCCAGUGGCCACCCCUGGCCCCAAAGCCUCUGUCAUCACCACUCCACUCCAGUCACAGGCCAUGACUCUGCCUGCUCAGACACUUAGCCCAGCACCGCCUUUCACUCCCAAAGCAAUGACCCAGGCGCACCCACCUGCCCACAUAGCACCCUCGGCAGCGGGCACAGCUCCAGGCUUGCUGCUGGGAGCCACAUUGCCAACCUCUGGAGUCCUGCCUGUGACUGAGGGCAUGGCCUCCACGGUAUCUGUUGUCUCACGAAAGAGCACCACAGGGAAGGUGGCCAUCCUAUCCAAGCAAGUGUCUCUGCCCACCCCCAUCUAUGGCUCUGCCCAGGGUGGGCCCACAGAGCUCAUGCCUGCCACGAGCCACCCUCUCACCCCCUUGGUGACUGAGCCCAAGGGAGCCCAGGCAGGCACAGCUCUGCCAGUGCCCACAUCCUAUCCCCUCAGCCGCGUCUCAGCCAGGACGGCCCCCCAAGACAGCGCGCUGGUUCUGUUGCCUCAGCUGGCUGAGGCCCAUGGAACCACGGCAGGGGCACACCUCGCAGCAGAGCCCGUGGAUGAGGCCAUCACAGAACCAUCUGGGCGCUCAGCCCCAGCCCUGAGCAUCGUAGAGGGUUUGGCGGAGGCUUUGGCAACCACCACUGAGGCCAAUACAUCCACCACCUGUGUCCCAAUCGCCGAGCAGGACUGCGUCCGCCACAUCUGCCUGGAGGGCCAGCUGAUCCGCGUGAAUCAGUCCCAGCACUGUCCCCAGGGCGCUGCUCCCCUCGCUGUGGGAUCCUGGGCCUCGCCGUGAGGGUGGGUGGGGACCGCUGCUGCCCACUCUGGGAGUGUGCCUGUGAGUCAUGGGAUCAGUGGAGCCUCCUGCAUCCUCCCUGUAUCCUUACCCCAGCAUGACCGCCACCCCUGAUCUGUGUGCCCCACACUCCCCUCCUGUGGGACCCCGACCUGGCAGAUUUCCUACGCUUGCGACCUCUGAUCUGUGUGAUGCCUGGUCUGAGCCACCCUCCAGACUCCAGGCCUCUGCAUCCAUCCAGGAAGAGGGCCGGGAACCUGCCCCAUCUUCCUCGGCAGCCUUGGUCUUGGAGGCAUCCACUGAUUCUUCUUGUGCCCUGUCCCUCCCCAGGCCGGUGCUCAAUCUUCCCUGACCUGAGCUUUGUGACCUUCGAUGGGAGCCACGUAGCUCUGUUCAAGGAGGCCAUCUACAUCCUCAGCCAGAGCCCAGAUGAAAUGGUCACCGUCCAUGUACUGGACUGCAAAAGUGCCAACCUGGUGCCUGCCCCAUACCCUCCUCCCUGCUGGGGACUAGGAACUGGACUAGGAUAAGAGGGGAGAUGGAGCAGUGAGCCAGGGUGCCAGAGGCAAAGAUAGAUGUGGAAGCCCCCCUGAGCUCCCUCUGUCUCCAGGAAUGGGCAGGGUCUCCCAGGUGACGGCUCCCUGAGAGGCUGGGGAAUAAUUGAGUGGAGUGUGCUGCCUCCUGGCCCCAGCCUGUUCCAUUCCCAGUUUGUGCCAGCUUCCUGCCAUGUAGGAGGGAUGGCAUGGAAGUGCAGAGAAACUGGGAUGUCACUCCAAUGGUGUGGACCGAGGUCGUGGGUGCUGG
ensembl:lincRNA